rnacentral:rRNA from 1 species
GAAGAAAGAGGGAGGAGGGAAGAAUACAUGAAAGUCGAACGAGAGCGAUCGGUGCUUGUAAUGGUUAAUAUAGUGGAGAAAGGGUGAGUAAAACGUGGGUAAUAUGAUAAUUAGAGGGGGAUAAUAUUCGGAAAAGGAUGCUAAAACCGCAUAGGUCUUCGAACCGCAUGGUUUGAAGAGGAAAAGAGGCGCAAGCUUCUGCUGAUGGAUGGACCCGCGGUGCAUUAGCUAGUUGGUGAGGUAACGGCUCAGCAGGGGCGUGAUGCAUAGCCGACCUGAGAGGGUGAUCGGCCACAUUGGGACUGAGACACGGCCCAAACUCCUACGGGAGGCAGCAGUAGGGAAUCUUCCGCAAUGGACGCAAGUCUGACGGAGCAACGCCGCGUGAGUGAAGAAGGUUUUCGGAUCGUAAAACUCUGUUUUUAUAGAAGAAUAAGUGCUAGAGUAACUGUUAGCGCCUUGACGGUAUCUAACCAGAAAGCCCCGGCUCCCUACGUU